UUUCAUCUUAUUAUUUUCUUCUUGGGAAUCAAAUAUGUUGCUGACUUUGAGCCCAUUCCUACUUAGCUCUCCAUCAAUCAACUUGUCAUUGGGGAGAAGGCAAUUACACACCAUUGCCAACCCUUCUUUAUUAGCUUAUAAUGUCAAAAAUAUUUGGCUAAAAACACCAAAUUGUUCAUCUACAUAUAGUUGUUGCUCCAACUUAUAUGCUAAUUAUUACAAUCGUUGUAAUAAUCCCAAUAAUAUCCAUGUUGUGAAUGCAACCACCACCAAUGUGGUAGAGUCGUCACCAAAGAUUGAUGACUCUGCUGCCGGCAUAGGAAUUCUUGAUUUUUUUCAAGGAAAGAACAUUUUUAUUACUGGUGCUACUGGAUUUCUUGGAAAAGCCAUUGUAGAAAAGUUAUUAAGAUCGACGGGAGUGGGCAAAAUCUAUGUAUUAAUCAAGGCGGAAGACAAAGUGGCCGCAUUUGAUCGAUUGAAGCGUGAGAUCAUAAACUCCGAGUUACUCAAAUGCUUACAAGAAGAGCAUGGAGCAUCUUAUGAAGCAUUUGUAAGAGAGAAAUUGAUAGCCGUUGUUGGUAAUAUUUGCGAAUCGGACCUUGGUAUGAACUUCGAUUCUGCUAAUGCCAUAAUGAAGGAGGUCGACGUGAUAAUACAAUCUGCAGGAAACACAUCAUUUGAUGAUAGGUAUGAUUCGUUGCUCGAAGCAAAUGUAAAUGGUCCUCAACGACUACUGAGAUUCGCCAAGAGAUGCAAUAAUCUUAUUCUUUUUGUCCAUAUUUCAACUGUAUUUGUAAAUGGAGAAAGAGAAGGAGUGAUCUCUGAAAAGCCAAUGACUAUGGGAGAAAAUAGGAGAAAAAAUAUUACAUCCUCAUUUCCUCAGCUAGACAUAGCCAAUGAGAUGAACCUUGCAUUCAAAUCCAUUGCCAGCCCUUCUACUGAACUUGACACGACAAUAUAUUCGAAAAAACUUGGUCAAGAGAGAGCAAGAUUUUAUGGAUGGUUCGAUGCAUAUCAACUAACGAAAGCUAUGGGAGAGAUGAUUAUUAAUGAAUGUAGGGGAGAUACGCCUGUGCUUAUCGUACGACCAGCUAUAAUCGAAAGCAGUUAUGAAGAGCCUUUUCCUGGAUGGAUACAAGGAUACAAAGCGACUGAUCCAGUUCUUAUUUCCUAUGGAAAAGGGCAGCUUUCGGCCUUUUUGGGCGACCCAGAAGUACCUAUGGAUAUUGUUCCAGUGGAUAUCCUUGUAAAUACAAUAAUUGCAGCUACUGCAAAGCAUGGAAUUCAACACAAGCCAGAAUUGAGUGUAUACCAUGUCGCAUCUUCUAUCUUGAAUCCUGUGCGAAUUUAUGAUAUGUUUGAAUUUUGUUAUGAAUACUUCAAUUCCAACCCUCUAAUUGAACCAUUAUCCAAAUCUAGCAAUAUCACUAAAAUCAAGCUUUUCAAUAAUAUCAAUGAAUUAUCCGAGUAUAUACGGGAAGAAAUAUUCCAACAUCACGGCUUGAAAUUAGAUGCAAUCGGCAUAAAUGAAAACAAGGUCCUUCAAAAGCUCCAGAGGAAAUGCAAUAUCAAAAUCAAACAUGUCGCGCAGCUGUGUAAAAUAUAUGAAUUUGCGGUCUUCUAUAGAGGCAGGUUCGAUACUUUCAACACUCAAAAAUUAUUAUCUGAGAUGUCCGAAGAGGAGCGAAGUUGCUUUGGAAUUGAUGCAAGAAACAUAGAUUGGAGAAAGUACUUUUGUGAAAUUCACCUUCCGGGGUUGAAAAAAUAUGUACUUAAUAUGUAAUUUAUGUUAUAUUUUUGCCAAUUUUUUAUAGAUGUUAACUAAUAUUUCCUAUAGAAUUGUUGUUUAUGUGUUCUUAAACGUUUUUAAAUAAGAACCUAUUUAGUUAUUUUA